rnacentral:rRNA from 1 species
UACAGAGGGGGCAAGCGUUGUUCGGAAUUACUGGGCGUAAAGGGCGCGUAGGCGGCCUUCUAAGUCGAACGUGAAAUCCCCGGGCUCAACCCGGGAACUGCGUCCGAUACUGGAAGGCUUGAAUCCGGGAGAGGGAUGCGGAAUUCCAGGUGUAGCGGUGAAAUGCGCAGAUAUCAGGAGGAACACCGGUGGCGAAGGCGGUUCUCUGGGCAUGUCCUGACGCUGAGGAGCGAAAGUGUGGGGAGCGAACAGG